CCCUUAGAUGUUCUGGGCCGCAUGCGCGCUACACUGAUGAACGCAACGAGACCACCUGUACCGAAAGGCAUGGGUAAACUUGUGAAAGUUCAUCGUGAUGGGGAUAGAUUAUUGCAAUUAUUAAUCUUCAACGAGGAAUUCCUAGUAAGCGCGAGUCAUCAGCUCGCGUUGAUUACGUCCCUGCCCUUUGUACACACCGCCCGUCGCUCCUACCGAUUGAAUGGUCCGGUGAAAUCUUCGGAUUGCUGGAUAGGACUUCAUUGACCUAUCUGCGAGAAGUUGCUUGAACCUUAUCAUUUAGAGGAAGGAGAAGUCGUAACA
rnacentral:rRNA from 1 species